UGGUGUGAAGAUAGAUAUGGGUUUUGCUGCUUCAUUGGCUUCAUGGUAGACAUGAGUGGCCAUGAAGAGCUGCAAUGAUGGUUUGAGUUCCCAAAGAUCCUGAUAUAGAGGAUGGCUAUGUCUGCCUCUUGUUCAACCAGUGGAUCAUGAUAAGUGCAUGCCUUUUUAUCCAAAUUUUGAGCAUUUAAUUUAUAAACGACCAUCGUUAGCCCUAUCCAAAUUGCCCUAAAUUCUACUAUUGGCACAAAUGAGUAUGAAUAAUUCGAAAAGUUGCACAAAGAGUUUGACCCCUAUAGCCUC
rnacentral:lncRNA from 1 species